rnacentral:lncRNA from 13 species
AAAACUCCUGGCCCUAAAACAAAGUGAACACACAGGAUAAGUCCCAAAUUGCACCUUAUUCCCUAUGUAGUGCACUACUUUUGACCAGGGUAGUGCACCGUAUAGGGUGCCAUUUGGGAUACACAAUGUUCAGUUCAAUCCCACGUGUGAGAACAGGUUGGAGUCAUAUUGAUAAGGUGAGAACAGCUUAGGGAAUUGACCGGAUCAUGACUAUGUAUGGCUCCAGUCUGUCUGUCUGUCUGUUUCUAUCCCACCAGUCAGUCAGUCAGUCAGUCAGUCUGUUUCUAUCCCACCAGUCAGUCAGUCUGUCUGUUUCUAUCCCACCAGUCAGUCUGUCUGUUUCUAUCCCACCAGUCCGUCAGUCUGUCAGUCUGUUUCUAUCCCACCAGUCAGUCAGUCAGUUUCUAUCCCACCAGUCAGUCAGUCUGUCUGUUUCUAUCCCACCAGUCAGUCAGUCUGUCUGUUUCUAUCCCACCAGUCAGUCAGUCUGUCUGUUUCUAUCCCACCCGUCCGUCCGUCCGUCCGUCUCCCAUGAGAGCGGGUGGAUGGAGAAUGGGAGGGGAGGAGUUGCUUCAGUUGCCAGUCUUGGGAGGCUGGGGCUCCAUGAAGGCAGGAUUGUAAGCAGGCUGGGCAGAAAGGAAGUCGGGCUGGGCGGGAGGUGCACAGGGAUAGGCUGGCUGAGGCUGGGCUGGGUAGCUGGGCUGCGCUGGAGCCUGGAGGGGGUAAGAUAGCUGUCCUGGACUGAACCCAGCCUGACUAUAAGACACUGGGAUAGCAGGAGGAUAGGCUGGACCUGGUAGAGAGAGAGAGAGAGAGAGAGAGAGAGAGAGAGAGGACAUUAAAACACACCACACCAGAGACACCGAGAACACACCAGACCAGACCAGACGGUUCCUGCCGUCAGGCUCCUCCUCUUUUCACUUACAAAUAAGCUUCACUUUCCACCUCCUCUGUUUGUUUUCAACUACAAUUAAUACAUUACUACACAACUAAGUAAUACAUUACUACACAACUAAGUAAUACCUCACUACACAACUAAGUAAUACCUCACAACUAAGUAAUACCACACAACUAAGUAAUACCUCACUACUAACUAAUACCACACAACUAACUAAUACCACACAACUAAGUAAUACCUCACUACACAACUAAGUAAUACCUCACUACACAACUAAGUAAUACCUCACAACUAAGUAAUACCUCACAACUAACUAAUACCACACAACUAACUAAUACCACACAACUAACUAAUACCUCAGAACUAACUAAUACCUCAGAACUAACUAAUACCUCAGAACUAACUAAUACAUUACUACACAACUAAGUAAUACC